rnacentral:rRNA from 1 species
GAUGAACGCUGGCGGCGUGCCUAAUACAUGCAAGUCGAGCGAACGGACGAGACGCUUGCUUCUCUGAUGUUAGCCGCGGACGGGUGAGUAACACGUGGAUCCCCUACCUAUAAGACUCGGAUCACUUCGGGAAACCGGACCUCAUACCGGCUAAUAUUUUGAACCGCAGAGCUCCAGAGUGCAAGACGGUCUUGCUGUCGCUGAUAGAUGGAUCCGCGCUGCAUUAGCUAGUUGGUAAGGUAACGGCUUACCAAGGCAACGAUGCAUAGCCGACCUGAGAGGGUGAUCGGCCACACUGGAACUGAGACACGGUCCAGACUCCUACGGGAGGCAGCAGUAGGGAAUCUUCCGCAAUGGGCGAAAGCCUGACGGAGCAACGCCGCGUGAGUGAUGAAGGUCUUCGGAUCGUAAAACUCUGUUAUUAGGGAAGAACAUAUGUGUAAGUAACUGUGCACAUCUUGACGGUACCUAAUCAGAAAGCCACGGCUAACUACGUG